ACGGCUGGCAGAAGGGCGUUAGCUCGAAUUUCAGGUCAAAAAUCGAUUUUUGAUAUUUCAUGUCAUUUAAUAGAGUUUUCAAAGCUCUUUCAAAUGAUGUGAUCGAGAUGGCAUAAAACGAAGUAAAUGAUUACGUAAUCGACAAUAGUAAAAGGGCGUUAGCACAAACUGUCAGAUAUCGCGCUAAGCAGAAGGGCGUAAGCCCUCUACGCCCUUUGCAUAUUAGGCGCGAGCGUAAAUUUUGAUCAAAGCAGAAGGGCGUUAUCGCGAAGCUGACGUCUGCUAGGCCUGUGGAUUUGCACAGGUAGGCUGCAGCAUGGAGCCAACAAGAGAAUUGCUUGUUCAGUGGAAAAAAGAUGGCUCCAAAAAACGUGGUAGUGUAUGGAGAUAGAUUCAAUGUCCCUGUAUUCCAAUAAAAGGGACAAAAGUCUUCAUGCCUUGGAAAGGCAGGAGAUGGGAGGGAGUUGUCCUGUCAGUGGAUGAUGAGUCUGAGGAAAGUGAUGAUGACAGCAUACCAGAUCAACCAAGGCUUGACGUUGGAGAUGUCGGUGUCGGUGUCAGAAUGACAGACCAUGGACCUCUACCAGAUCAACCAAGGCUUGACGUUGGAGAUGUCCGGUC